UACGUAGGGUGCGAGCGUUAAUCGGAAUUACUGGGCGUAAAGCGUGCGCAGGCGGUGAUGUAAGACAGUUGUGAAAUCCCCGGGCUCAACCUGGGAACUGCAUCUGUGACUGCAUCGCUGGAGUGCGGCAGAGGGGGAUGGAAUUCCGCGUGUAGCAGUGAAAUGCGUAGAGAUGCGGAGGAACACCGAUGGCGAAGGCAGCCCCCUGGGCCAACACUGACGCUCAGGCACGAAAGCGUGGGGAGCAAACAGG
rnacentral:rRNA from 1 species